rnacentral:rRNA from 1 species
GACGUAGGAUGCGAGCGUUGUUCUGAUUUCUUGGGCGUAAAGCGUACGUAGGCGGCUGUCUAAGUCUGGUGUUAAAGCUAGGGGCUCAACCCCUGUGAUGCACUGGAAACUGGGCGGCUUGAGAGCGGUAGGGGAAGGUGGAAUUCCGAGUGUAGCGGUGAAAUGCGUAGAUAUUCGGAAGAACACCGGUGGCGAAGGCGACCUUCUGGGCCGUUUCUGACGCUGAGGUACGAAAGCGUGGGGAGCAAACAGG